GAGUAACGCGUGGGAAUCUACCGAGUAGUGGGGGACAACCAGUGGAAACGCUGGCUAAUACCGCAUACGCCCUAAGGGGGAAAGAGGGGGACCGUAAGGCCUCUUGCUAUUCGAUGAGCCCGCGUAAGAUUAGCUAGUUGGUGGGGUAAAGGCCUACCAAGGCGACGAUCUUUAGCUGGUCUGAGAGGAUGAUCAGCCACACUGGAACUGAGACACGGUCCAGACUCC
rnacentral:rRNA from 1 species